rnacentral:rRNA from 1 species
GAUGAACGCUGGCGGCGUGCUUGAUACAUGCAAGUCGAACGGAGAGUGUAGCAAUAUACUCUUAGUGGCGAACGGGUGAGUAACGCGUUGGUGACCUGCCCCGAAGCGAGGGAUAACAGUUCGAAAGAACUGCUAAUACCUCAUAUGAUCACCGGUUUUAGAAUCUGGUGAUUAAAGGUGAAAAUCACUUCGGGAGGGGCCUGCGUCCCAUCAGCUAGUUGGUAAGGUAAUGGCUUACCAAGGCGAUGACGGGUAGGGGACCUGAGAGGGUGGCCCCCACAAUGGAACUGAAACACGGUCCAUACACCUACGGGUGGCAGCAGUAGGGAAUAUUGCAAAUGGGCGAAAGCCUGAUGUAGCAACGCCGCGUGUGCGAUGAAGGUCUUCGGAUUGUAAAGCACUUUUUGGAGGGAUGAGGAAGGACAGUACCUCCAGAAUAAGCCUCGGCUAACUACGUG